UACGAAGGGGGCUAGCGUUGUUCGGAAUCACUGGGCGUAAAGCGCACGUAGGCGGACUUGUAAGUCAGGGGUGAAAUCCCAGGGCUCAACCCUGGAACUGCCUUUGAUACUGCAAGUCUCGAGUCCGGAAGAGGUGAGUGGAACUCCUAGUGUAGAGGUGAAAUUCGUAGAUAUUAGGAAGAACACCAGUGGCGAAGGCGGCUCACUGGUCCGGAUCUGACGCUGAGGUGCGAAAGCGUGGGGAGCAAACAGG
rnacentral:rRNA from 1 species